UACGGAGGAUGCAAGCGUUAUCCGGAAUGAUUGGGCGUAAAGCGUCCGCAGGUGGCUGUGUAAGUCUGCUGUUAAAAAGUGAGGCUCAACCUCAUAAAAGCAGUGGAAACUACACGGCUAGAGUGCGUUCGGGGCAGAGGGAAUUCCUGGUGUAGCGGUGAAAUGCGUAGAUAUCAAGUGGAACACCAGUGGCGAAGGCGAGUCUCUGGACAUUUCCUGACGCUGAGGCACGAAAGCCAGGGGAGCAAACGGG
rnacentral:rRNA from 1 species